GACCGUGACCGGAAAAGUCUCCGAAUUGGGCCGAGGUUUUGGCUAGCCCCCCAUUGUCAGACGUCCCGAGCGCGUCCCCGAAGUCGGAAUCGGCAAAGGUGAGCCGGGACAGCCUUCUUCCUCCGCCCAGCCGCCACAGUAAUUUGUCGUCAAGUCUGCCACAGGAGGAUAUUUUGUUCUGGGUUAACCUGCCUUUUUACCUCGCAGGUUGUUUAUCAAUAUUGUGUAAUUUUAAUUACUCCUAGAAUUUCCGCAUGUGUUAGCAGUAAUUAUUUGAAAUUGGUCUGUAAUAUUAUAUUCAUGUUGGACCUGUAAACUUAAUAUUUUAAGUCUG